UUUCCGUAGGUGAACCUGCGGAAGGAUCAUUCAUAAUAAGUGUUUUAUGGCACUUUUUAAAAAUCCAUAUCCACCUUGUGUGCAAUGUUAGAUCUCGUCAAUCUUGGCGAGAUUUUUAUACAUCAACCCAUUCUUUAACUAAUUUGUCUGAAAAAUAUUAUGAAUACUUAAUUCAAAAUACAACUUUCAACAACGGAUCUCUUGGCUCUC
rnacentral:misc_RNA from 1 species